UACAGAGGUCUCAAGCGUUGUUCGGAAUUACUGGGCGUAAAGCGUGCGCAGGCGGCGCGGUAAGUCGGGUGUGAAAUCUCGGAGCUUAACUCCGAAACUGCAUUCGAUACUGCCGUGCUUGAGGACUGGAGAGGAGACUGGAAUUUACGGUGUAGCGGUGAAAUGCGUAGAUAUCGUAAGGAAGACCAGUGGCGAAGGCGGGUCUCUGGACAGUUCCUGACACUGAGACACGAAAGCCAGGGGAGCAAACGGG
rnacentral:rRNA from 1 species